GAUUACAAACUUGCUGGAAAUGGAUGAGAAACCUUCUGCUCUGCUGGAGUUUAUCUUGAGUGUGCCUUAAAAUUCCAUUUCAUGGAGAACUGUGCGUGGUUGAAUUUUGAUUGAUUACUCAAUUAACUGAUGUAUUGGUAGAGUGAUUAAGAAAGAAGACUUUGGGAUCAGACCAACCUGGUUUUGAAUUCAAGCUCAGCAACUUACUAGGUAAGGAGGAGAAAAGAAAGAAGGAAAAAUUGGAAAGAUAAAUGGGGUCUUUCCAGUGAAGCCUCCAGGCCUCCAGACUGGAACUUAUACCACUGAUUCUUCUGAAUCUUAGGCCUUUGGACUUGGACUGGAACUAAACCAUCAGCUCUUCUUGUUCUACCACUUGCAGACUGUAUGUCUUGGGACAUGUCAGCCUCUGUAAUCACGCUCAAUUUUCCUACAUAAUUAAGAGUUUGGAAUUCGGGCAAUAUCAAGAACCACAUCUGUCCUGAAAUCAAUUAUCUCUGUUUGGAAUAUGGAUAUGAGAGAUCACUUUGCUGUGCUGUAAAUGAUCGAUUAAAAUACAUAUUUCUCUCCUGACCCUCUGGGCCUGCCUUUCCAUGCAGUACCCUUGUUCUCUGAGAGUGAGGAGGUCUGUGUUUUGAGCCUUCCUACAAAACACAAGAAAUAAGAAGACCAUUUUGAGAAGAACAGAGAGUAGCCUUAAGAAAAUCCCUGUCGCAAGCACUCUGGGAUUUGGACUCAAAUGCUAAUUAUACAACGUUGGUGGACCAGCCUUAAAACCAACAAUGAUUUGUAACAUUGAUUCUUUGGGAAAGGGCAUUCGGGAUCCCACAUCACCAUCUAACAAAUGAAUUUUUGUAAGAAAACCCAUUGAGACAAGAUCAUGUUCUGUUGCUCAGGCUGGAGUGCAGUAACACAAUCAUAGCUCACUAUAACCUCAAACUACUGGGAUCAGGAGAUCCCCCAACCUCAGCCUCCCGAGUAGCUUGGACUACAGGUGUGCACUGGCUAAUUUUUAAUGUUUAAAAAUUUGUUGUAGCAAUAGUGUCUUGGUAUGUUAUCCAGGAUAGUCUUGAACUCCUGGCCUCUAGGGGUCCAUCUGCCUCGGCUUUCCAAAGCUUUCGGAUUACAGAUGUGAGCCACCGCGACUGGGCUUAUUAUCCUUUUUAAAUAAACAUUUUUGAUGGUGAAAAUACAUGGAACAUAUGACCAAAUUCAAUAAUUACAAUGUAUAUAAUGUUACUGAAGGAUGGAUAUAACAGAAAGUUAAGACUUGAGGUCUGAUAUAAGACAGCCUGCCUGAGUUCAAGACCAAACUCUUCCUCAGAUGGGCUGUGAGACAGUGAUCAAGAUACUGACCUCUUUUAAAAUCUCUGCUUUUUCAUCUGUAAAAUGUAAAUUAAAAAUACCUUGUGCUAUAUGGUUGUUGGGACAAUUAAUAUGCUAAAAGAGCACAUGAGAAUACACACUGAUAU
ensembl:lncRNA novel transcript